rfam:Schistosoma margrebowiei strain Zambia genome assembly, scaffold: SMRZ_contig0010980
AUCGCUGAUGAGUCUCAAAUAGGACGAAACGCACGUCCUCAAU